GACGAACGCUGGCGGCGUGCCUAAUACAUGCAAGUAGAACGCUGAAGGAGGAGCUUGCUUCUCUGGAUGAGUUGCGAACGGGUGAGUAACGCGUAGGUAACCUGCCUGGUAGCGGGGGAUAACUAUUGGAAACGAUAGCUAAUACCGCAUAAGAGUAGAUGUUGCAUGACAUUUGCUUAAAAGGUGCAAUUGCAUCACUACCAGAUGGACCUGCGUUGUAUUAGCUAGUUGGUGGGGUAACGGCUCACCAAGGCGACGAUACAUAGCCGACCUGAGAGGGUGAUCGGCCACACUGGGACUGAGACACGGCCCAGACUCCUACGGGAGGCAGCAGUAGGGAAUCUUCGGCAAUGGACGGAAGUCUGACCGAGCAACGCCGCGUGAGUGAAGAAGGUUUUCGGAUCGUAAAGCUCUGUUGUAAGAGAAGAACGAGUGUGAGAGCGGAAAAUUCACACUGUGACGGUAUCUUACCAGAAAGGGACGGCUAACUACGUG
rnacentral:rRNA from 1 species